GACGGAGGAUGCAAGCGUUAUCCGGAAUGAUUGGGCGUAAAGCGUCCGCAGGUGGCAGUUCAAGUCUGCUGUCAAAGACCGGGGCUUAACUUCGGAAAGGCAGUGGAAACUGAACAGCUAGAGUAUGGUAGGGGCAGAGGGAAUUCCUGUGUAGCGGUGAAAUGCGUAGAUAUCAAGAGGAACACCUGAGGUGAAGACGGGUUGCUGGGCCAACACUGACGCUGAUGCGCGAAAGCCAGGGGAGCAAACGGG
rnacentral:rRNA from 1 species